rnacentral:lncRNA from 1 species
GGGAGAGAGGGAAUCCAGCUACCACCACCCAAAGCCAGCGUCUGCUUUCUGUCCUCAUUUCCUUUUCCCACCCAGCUCGGAGAGCAGAGAAAGGCAGAGAGAGCGAGAAAUAGAGACAGGCAGACAGACAGACAGACAGACAGACAGAGCGGGAGGGAGGAGGGCGGAGGAGGAGGAGCAGGAGCAGGAGCAGGAGCAGGAGCAGGAGGACUACGCGGGGCGCGUUCCCUCCCAGCCGGGCGCCCGCGUCGCUGCCGCCGCCGGAAGACAGACGCCCCCCAAAACCCCUAGCCUGGCUCGGACCCACAGAGCCAGCAGCCCAGCACUCCGCUUUCAGAAAACCAACGCCAAGACCCCUCCCAGUGUCCACAUCGUCCUCUGGCAGGAGCUCCUGCCCCUCUGCCUCCCCCGCCUCCCCGCACCCCCUACCCCCCACCCCACACCCAUCUCCUCCACGCAGAAGCCGAAGGUGAGCCCUUUCUGCACAAAACCAGCAAUUGUAAAUACUUUUUAAAAAUGUACAAAACUUAAAAAACAAAACAGUUUUAGAAAAAGACAAAAAAAAAAAAAGAGCGAGAGAGCGAGCGUGUGCAAGAGGUUGCGAGUGGGGCUUCCAGGUGUCCAGAGCCCCUGCAAGUAUGCACUGAGAAAUUUAUCUACAGGUCGUUUGACAAAAAUGAACAAUAUCCUAUUUAUUGUAUAUACUGUUUUAUUAUAAAUCGUGGAUUGUAUAUUGCAUUCUGUAAACCUGCUGUGGUCCCGUGGUGUGCAAAUUCGCAUGGUGGGGGGGAGGGUGAAGAACCUCUUGCGGGAGCUUUUUUUUUUUCUUUCUUUCUUUCUUUCUUAUUUUUCACUCUUUUGGGUUUUCUCUUCUGUUGUUGUUGUUGUUUUUUGUUGGCAGGACACACCCAAAGAUCCAAGUUUGUAUUAAAAAGAAAUGAAAAAAAGCAAAAAAAAAAAAAAAAAAAAAAAAAAAAAACUAACCGUGUGUCUUGUGAAAGGGGGUGAGU